rnacentral:misc_RNA from 1 species
AUCUCCAACCAAAACCAAGAAAUUGUACGGACUAUAAAUUGACUCGUCAAAUAAAACCUCAUGAAAAAAUUGAAUUAUCCAAAUCCAAGAACAAAUCACAAAAAUAGGUUAUGCUAUUCUCAAUCACAUUCUAUCUCCCUCGAAAAUUGAAGGAAUAUAAAAAGACCAAAAAUGACUGGGAACGAAUAAAAGAUAAUAUUAAAAGAAAAAUGAUUCUAACAGAUUGUUCUAAGCACAACUCCAUAUAUAACAAGCCAACCAUCAAAAUUGCACAAAUUUUUUACUAUCUCAUCCAACUUCUCAAGACACUAUCAUAUCCAACCAUUCUUCAUUAAGAAGAGCUACUGUUGCUUGCACUCUGGUGGCCUCUCACCAGACUGACCAUCUCCAACAGGAGCUCUUCCACUCUUCUUGCGAGCAGCAGCUGACUUCUUCUUGGUCUUGGUAUCUUCUUCUUCCUCCUCUUCGUCCUCAUCUUCUUCUUCAUCCUCA